AUACGUAGGGGGCGAGCGUUGUCCGGAAUGAUUGGGCGUAAAGGGCGCGUAGGCGGCCCGGUAAGUCUGGAGUGAAAGUCCUGUUUUUAAGCUGGGAAUUGCUUUGGAUACUGUCGGGCUUGAGUGCAGGAGAGGUAAGUGGAAUUCCCAGUGUAGCGGUGAAAUGCGUAGAGAUCGGGAGGAACACCAGUGGCGAAGGCGGGUAACUGGACUGCAACUGACGCUGAGGCGCGAAAGUGUGGGGAGCAAACAGGAUUAGAUACCCUGGUAGUCCACACUGUAAACGAUGAAUGCUAGGUGUAAGAGGUAUCGACCCCUUUUGUGCCGGAGUCAACACAAUAAGCAUUCCGCCUGGGGAGUACGGCCGCAAGGUUGAAACUCAAAUGAAUUGGCGGGG
rnacentral:rRNA from 1 species